rnacentral:rRNA from 1 species
AGCGAACGCUGGCGGCAGGCCUAAUACAUGCAAGUCGAGCGCACCUUCGGGUGAGCGGCGGACGGGUGAGUAACGCGUGGGAACGUGCCCUUUGGUACGGGAUAACUGAGGGAAACUUCAGCUAAUACCGUAUGUGCCCUACGGGGGAAAGAUUUAUCGCCAUUGGAGGGGCCCGCGUUGGAUUAGGUAGUUGGUGAGGUAAAGGCUCACCAAGCCUACGAUCCAUAGCUGGUAUGAGAUGAUGAUCAGCCACACUGGGACUGAGACACGACCCAGACUCCUACGGGAGGCAGCAGUAGGGAAUCUUGCGCAAUGGGCGAAAGCCUGACGCAGCCAUGUCGCGUAAAUGAUGAAGGUCUUAGGAUUGUAAAAUUCUUUCACCGGGGACGAUAAUGACGGUACCCGGAGAAGAAGCCCCGGCUAACUUCGUGCCAGCCGCCGCCGUAAUAC